CCUACGGGAGGCAGCAGUGAGAAAUAUUGGUCAAUGGACGAGAGCCUGAACCAGCCAAGUCGCGUGAGGGAAGACGGUCCUAUGGAUUGUAAACCUCUUUUGCCGGGGAGCAAAAAGCGGUACGUGUACCGCACCGAGAGUACACGGAGAAAAAGCAUCGGCUAACUCCGUGCCAGCAGCCGCGGUAAUACGGAGGAUGCGAGCGUUAUCGGGAUGUAUUGGGUUAAAGGAGUGCGCAGGCGGCAAGUUAAGUCAGCGGUAAAAUUUCGGGGAUAAACCCCGACGAGCCGUUGAAACUGGCUUGCUAGAGAGGGCGAGAAGUAUGCGGAAUGCGUGGUGUAGCGGUGAAAUGCAUAGAUAUCACGCAGAACUCCGAUUGCGAAGGCAGCAUACCGGCGCCCAACUGACGCUCAGGCACGAAAGCGUGGGUAUCGAACAGGAUUAGAUACCCCGGUAGUC
rnacentral:rRNA from 1 species